GAUGAAGAACGCAGCGAAAUGCGAUAAGUAAUGUGAAUUGCAGAAUUCAGUGAAUCAUCGAAUCUUUGAACGCACAUUGCGCCCGCCAGUAUUCUGGCGGGCAUGCCUGUCCGAGCGUCAUUUCAACCAUCAAGCCCCCGGGCUUGUGUUGGGGACCUGCGGCUGCCCGCAGGCCCUGAAAACCAGUGGCGGGCUCGCCGUCACACCGAGCGUAGUAGCAAUCACCUCGCUCAGGGCGUGCUGCGGGUUCCGGCCGUUAAACAGCCUUACAAAACCCAAGGUUGACCUCGGAUCAGGUAGGAAGACCCGCUGAACUUAAGCAUAUCAAUAAGCGGAGGA
rnacentral:misc_RNA from 1 species